ACGAACGCUGGCGGCAUGCCUAACACAUGCAAGUCGAACGAGACCUUCGGGUCUAGUGGCGCACGGGUGCGUAACGCGUGGGAACCUGCCCUUAGGUUCGGAAUAACUCCCCGAAAGGGGUGCUAAUACCGGAUAAUGUCUUCGGGCCAAAGAUUUAUCGCCUUUGGAUGGGCCCGCGUUGGAUUAGCUAGUUGGUAGGGUAAAAGCCUACCAAGGCGACGAUCCAUAGCUGGUCUGAGAGGAUGAUCAGCCACACUGGGACUGAGACACGGCCCAGACUCCUACGGGAGGCAGCAGUGGGGAAUAUUGGACAAUGGGCGAAAGCCUGAUCCAGCAAUGCCGCGUGAGUGAUGAAGGCCUUAGGGUUGUAAAGCUCUUUUACCCGGGAUGAUAAUGACAGUACCGGGAGAAUAAGCUCCGGCUAACUCCGUG
rnacentral:rRNA from 1 species